AACGCUGGCGGCAGGCUUAACACAUGCAAGUCGAGCGGGGGAAGGUAGCUUGCUACCGGACCUAGCGGCGGACGGGUGAGUAAUGCUUAGGAAUCUGCCUAUUAGUGGGGGACAACAUCUCGAAAGGGAUGCUAAUACCGCAUACGUCCUACGGGAGAAAGCAGGGGAUCUUCGGACCUUGCGCUAAUAGAUGAGCCUAAGUCGGAUUAGCUAGUUGGUGGGGUAAAGGCCUACCAAGGCGACGAUCUGUAGCGGGUCUGAGAGGAUGAUCCGCCACACUGGGACUGAGACACGGCCCAGACUCCUACGGGAGGCAGCAGUGGGGAAUAUUGGACAAUGGGGGGAACCCUGAUCCAGCCAUGCCGCGUGUGUGAAGAAGGCCUUAUGGUUGUAAAGCACUUUAAGCGAGGAGGAGGCUACUUUAGUUAAUACCUAGAGAUAGUGGACGUUACUCGCAGAAUAAGCACCGGCUAACUCUGUGCCAGCAGCCGCGGUAAUACAGAGGGUGCGAGCGUUAAUCGGAUUUACUGGGCGUAAAGCGUGCGUAGGCGGCUUAUUAAGUCGGAUGUGAAAUCCCCGAGCUUAACUUGGGAAUUGCAUUCGAUACUGGUGAGCUAGAGUAUGGGAGAGGAUGGUAGAAUUCCAGCACUAGCGGUGAAAUGCGUAGAGAUCUGGAGGAAUACCGAUGGCGAAGGCAGCCAUCUGGCCUAAUACUGACGCUGAGGUACGAAAGCAUGGGGAGCAAACAGGAUUAGAUACCCUGGUAGUCCAUGCCGUAAACGAUGUCUACUAGCCGUUGGGGCCUUUGAGGCUUUAUCGGCGCAGCUAACGCGAUAAGUAGACCGCCUGGGGAGUACGGUCGCAAGACUAAAACUCAAAUGAAUUGACGGGGGCCCGCACAAGCGGUGGAGCAUGUGGAAUAAUUCGAUGCAACGCGAAGAACCUUACCUGGCCUUGACAUACUAGAAACUUUCCAGAGAUGGAUUGGUGCCUUCGGGAAUCUAGAUACAGGUGCUGCAUGGCUGUCGUCAGCUCGUGGCGUGAGAUGUUGGGUUAAGUCCCGCAACGAGCGCAACCCUUUUCCUUACUUGCCAGCAUUUCGGAUGGGAACUUUAAGGAUACUGCCAGUGACAAACUGGAGGAAGGCGGGGACGACGUCAAGUCAUCAUGGCCCUUACGGCCAGGGCUACACACGUGCUACAAUGGUCGGUACAAAGGGUUGCUACACAGCGAUGUGAUGCUAAUCUCAAAAAGCCGAUCGUAGUCCGGAUUGGAGUCUGCAACUCGACUCCAUGAAGUCCCUAAAGCUAGUAAUCGCGGAUCAGAAUGCCGCGCCGAAUACGUUCCCGGGCCUUGUACACACCGCCCGUCACACCAUGGGAGUUUGUUGCACCAGAAGUAGCUAGCCUAACUGCAAAGAGGGCGGUUACCACGGUGUGGCCGAUGACUGGGGUGAAGU
rnacentral:rRNA from 1 species